UACGUAGGGUGCGAGCGUUAAUCGGAUUUACUGGGCGUAAAGCGUGCGCAGGCGGCCCGUUAAGACAGGUGUGAAAUCCCUGGGCUCAACCUAGGAAUUGCGCUUGUGACUGGCGGGCUCGAGUACGGUAGAGGGGGGUGGAAUUCCUGGUGUAGCAGUGAAAUGCGUAGAGGUCAGGAGGAACACCGAUGGCGAAGGCAGCCCCCUGGGCCUGUACUGACGCUCAUGCACGAAAGCGUGGGGAGCAAACAGG
rnacentral:rRNA from 1 species